GUCCUAUAGAGAUCAGAGAUGUGUUAGUUUUACUCAUAACCUUCAAAAAGUAAUUAGUCGCGUCACUUCUUUAUAAUGCAUAACGCUAAAUCGUUACUUUUGUACAGUAUGCAGUUACUGGGUAUUAGUCAUUACAUUGUCUUCAAGUUGUUAACAGAGUUACAUUAGCCGUCAAGAAUAUAAUGGCAUUAUACAUUACACGCUGUAUGCACACUUGGGUCUCGAAAACAUAAUGAAUUACGCGCUGCCUCAUUUUUGCAACGCAUUACCGGUAAUGCGCUACUUCAAACAUGAUAUUACAUGGUUAAUCAAUUAUGCGCUAGUUGCAAUCAAUCCAAGUAAGUCGCCCUGAUAUGGAAGCUAUGUGGAUUUCUGAAUCUUUGACGUCGAGACGUCAGCGUUGAUAAACGAAUCCCAGAUGAAUCUGGGAUUCGUCAGUUUAUCAACGCCAGCUCAUUUCUUCGCUCCGAUUUUAUGUCGGCACAGUUCACAUAGAAUGCGGCCCAGGAUGCAUAUUCCCCACGGCGUCGGUCGUGACGUUGCCCACUUCUGUGAAGUCGACAACAGCGAGCUCUUUCACCAUCAUCACCACCGUCGCUCAAUUAAAAAACAAAAAAAACAAAACGAAAACACUUGCUGGAUUAUCGAAACUCAAGGCAUUCGUGAUAUUUCGUUAUUCAACGGAAUUUGUCGGCUUAAUAACAUAAAAACCAGCAGUGUGGAAAAUUCAAGUCAUUAAAGUCACCAAACCGUCGCUUGUUUCGGUUUCAAACCGCUGCGUCUAGCAACCAUGAAGAAAGAGCACAAAGCAGCGUUCAGCGGGCUGCUGGCUUCCUCGUGGUUUCUUGUGUUCAACUCAUGUCUAUGUUAUCGUUGAGUUUAAUCGGCAAGAUAUACUGCAUUUCGUGCGUGACGUUUGUUGUUGUGUUCGCUAUUCGUCUGACGACGCAAAAGCUGUUGUGCCAGUGCCGUGACUACAUGCCGUACAACUUGCCGAACCAGCCCGGACUAGGACCAUGCCGAAAUUGGUGUCUCAUGUCAAGCACACACAAGAAAAGGCGAUGCAGCAUUUGCAGCACAUCACGUCACGGUAUAUGUGAAAGCAUACUUCGGCAAAUAAGGAAUGCAUCAGAAGGACACCACGGGACGCUUCAGAGUCUGGAUGUACCAUAUCUGAUGAAAAUCUUGCACCACAGAGGCUGCUCGAUGGAUGGAUGGAUUACAACCCUGAUGAAGCAGCGAAGUUCAAGGGAACAACAGGUGCACGACACUAUCAUUGCUGGACAAAAUUGAUGUUGAACAGAAAGAUGCCGCACAGGGAACGAGCAUGUCACUCAAACUGUUUGACCGGAAAACCUGGAGCAAGAGGAAACUUCCGCACAAGACUACAAAAAAAGUAGACUUAGAAGUCCAUGUAUACGGGAGAGCACCUUUGGUGGAAGAGGCUUGACGGCCGACACUGUUAUUUGAUUCACUUUGGGGUUGACAGUUUUGUUCCUGAGAACUUCAUGUGCGUACAGCGGGGCACAAUCAACAGCAGGUUAGUCAACAAUUUGAUGCAGCCUUUCUGGACACAAGAUGGAACGGCGACUAGUUGCUUUUCAGGGCAACCGUAGCAGAGAGCAGGCAUUCACGCGCUCGUCACAGGCAACACCAGAGAAGCUGGACUCCAUUACAUAAAUGGCAUGCCACAUUGAGGGCCACCAGACUGACCUUGUAAAAGAAGCAAAGCUAGAACUAGUCAGGUGAAUCUUUGGAGAUUUGGUUUUGGAGAUGUUGCCCAGCAAGGCAAAAACAGAAAAGUGACACAAUAAAGAAAAUAAAUCUGGGAAUAGUGAA